rnacentral:lncRNA from 1 species
AUGGUGGUGUUUACCAGCCGAGGAGGCGGCAGCGGUGCCGUUCGUCACCUCUGGCCCCCGAGCAGCCUCUGCGGUGAGCAGCCUGCUGCCACCCGGGGCAAAGGGAAGAGGAACCGGAGAAAAUCUGCAGAUGCCAGGCCUGGUGGCAGGGGCAGCGUGCACGUGUGUGCAAACAGACACACGCUCACACACACAGACAGACUCAUGUGCACACAGGUACUCACACAAAAGCACACGCAUGCUGGCGUGCUUGUGCACACACACAUGCAUGGACACGUGCACACACAUGUACGUGCUCCCACACACACAUAUGAGCCCACACACGCAUGUGCACAUGGCUGCGUGCACCCCAGCUGUUGCACACAGCCACACGUGCACACCCAUGGAAGCAAAUGCAUGCUAGCGUGCGCCUGCACAUGCAUGGUUGCACACACACAGCCGUGCACACACACCCCCGUGCACCUACACACCCCCACCUGUGCACACAUCCCCUGUGUGCACAUUGCUGUGCACAGCCCCCUGUGCAAAUCCCUGUGUGCACACACCCCCAUGCAUACACACACACAUGCACACGCACACCAUGUGCACACACACACAGAGCUAUGCACACCCACACACACUGGUGCACACCCACGCCCCUUGCACACCCACACGUGCACUCACACACCAUGUGCACACACACUCAUGCACACACAUACCAGUGCACACACACAGCUAUGCGCACACACACACACUCAUCACACCCACACCCCUGGUACACCCACACCCAUGCACACACACACCCCCUGUGCACACACACACAGCUAUGCACACACACCCCAUGUGCACACACACAGCUAUGCACACACACACCCCUUGCACACCCACACCCAUGCACACAAACACCAUGUGCACACACACAGCUAUACACACCCACACCCAUGUACACACACACCCCAUGUGAACACACACAUGCACACACAUCUUGCACACCCUCACCCAUGCACACACCCCCAUGUGCACACACAUGCACACACACAGCUAUGCACACACACACCCCUUGCACACCCACACCUGUGCCCACACCCCCAUGUGCAUGCAUACACAUGCACACACACACACCGUGCACACACACACAUGCACACCCACAUCCCUUGA